GCAGCAUACCAACUUUUUUAGAAACAGGGUUGUAUGACGAGUAUUGUUCAUACGGAUGUUUAUCAACAGAAGACCGGCCUCUGUCGGGUUUUCUUGUAUGGAUCUGACGUAGUCGUCCUGGUUUUGCAUAUAGACAGACAUACACCUGAUGAAUGCCUUUAAGCGGCGACGAUCCGAGCUGCAUCUCACCGCGGAAAAUGUGGAAAAUAGCAGGAAACCGGACUGACGAGCUGUGGUUCCGAGAAAUUACUGCGAAUACUUCUGAGAGGAAUAUUCCGGAGCAGCUUGGUCUUUCCCUUGCUGCGGUGCACAGUAACGGUGAGUCGGUGACCCACACACUCCGUCAGAGCCUGACCCUCAGCUCACCUCGAUCCCUGACUGUGUCAGUCCUCUUGGGGGUGUUUCCGGACCAGGAAAGACAUGCUCACUGGCUUUUCUGCUAUGUAAGCAGCAGGGAAGACGGGGUGCUUGAGGCCUGGGAUUACUACUAGAGAGAUUACCCUGUACGUGUGAUGGGCAUGAUGGACAAGUGACUGAUUUCAGGGGUCCUGUAAGUGAUGGACAAGUGAUUGAUUUCAGAGGUCCUGUAAGUGAUGGACAAGUGAUUGAUUUCAGAGGUCCUGUAAGUGAUGGACAAGUGACUGAUUUCAGAGAUUCUGCAUGUGAUGGACAAGUGACUGAUUUCAGAGGUCCUGUAAGUGAUGGACAAGUGACUGAUUUCAGAGGUCCUGUAAGUGAUGGACAAGUGACUGAUUUCAGAGGUCCUGUAAGUGAUGGACAAGUGACUGAUUUCAGAUGUCCUGUAAGUGAUGGACAAGUGACUGAUUUCAGAGGUCCUGUAAGUGAUGGACAAGUGACUGAUUUCAGAGGUCCUGUAAGUGAGGGACAAGUGACUGAUUUCUGAGGUCCUGUAAGUGAUGGACAAGUGACUGAUUUCAGAGGUCCUGUAAGUGAGGGACAAGUGACUGAUUUCUGAGGUCCUGUAAGUGAUGGACAAGUGACUGAUUUCAGAGGUCCUGUAAGUGAGGGACAAGUGACUGAUUUCAGAAGUCCUGUAAGUGAUGGACAAGUGACUGAUUUUAGAGGUCCUGUAAGUGAGGGACAAGUGACUGAUUUCAGAGGUUCUGUAAGUGAUGGACAAGUGACUGAUUUUAGAGGUCCUGUAAGUGAGGGACAAGUGACUGAUUUCAGAGGUUCUGUGAGUGAUGGACAAAUGACUGAUUUCAGAGGUCCUGUAAGUGAUGGACAAGUGACUGAUUCUUGAUUUGAUAUACAUUUGUUUAUUUUGCUAGCACCAGCCACCAAAAGCUGUAUAAUAAUAAUAAUAAUAAUAAUAAUAACAAUAAUAAUAAUAAUAACAAUAAUAAUAAUAAUAAUAAUAAUAAUAAUAAUAAUAAUGAAAUUAUGUAAAAAUCUAUUACAUAUUUCGAAUUGGUGACUAGCUGGCCAACUAUGCAAGGUUAAUGCCUAGAUAAAACAUAUUAGGUAAAAUGAUUAAACAUGGUGAAUGUAUGUUGUUGAUAGUCCACAAUUUAAUUAUUAUAUGCCAUGUGUAGGACCACUUUGCCUGUGGUAUCUUGAUAUUUGUUUGUUUUGACACUUCCUGUUCUCAACAAUACAUUGUAUAUCAUGGAGGAUGGUCAUCAGUCAUUUUUUGCCCAGUUCUCACUCUUUGAAUAUAAUGCAAGGAAUUCACGUUGAACGAAUUCAAAGCAGGAAGUGUGUAAAGGAUUUCUUCACUUGUAUAUACAUAUAUACAAAAGGCAAACAUCUUGCAACCACAUCUGAUUGGCAGAGUCCUAUGGGCAGGAUCUCUCACCCAAUCAUCUUUUUCUGACUAGGCUCCCAACCUGGCCCGGGGGGCCUUACGGCCGCCCCUCCGGCAGAGAAGACUAGUGGUAUAGUCCCAGGCCUGAUCGCAGCGGGGCUGUUCAUCCUCUUCCUUUUGGGUCUGUAUGCAUUGCUGUGGAGGUGCAUGGUGACCUUGCCUAGCAGGAGACUGAGGAAAAAGAGGGCAAGGGCCCGUGGAAAGCCGGACCCAGUGUGUUGAAAGGCAGAGCUGUGUCAGUGGAAGGGAUCCUGGGUGCCCUGUGGUCUACCUCAAGCCUGGGCUUGGAGCGGCGAAAUAAAAUGAAGAGCCUGCUUACCUGACCAAGAGUCAUGAGGGUCUGCUAGGGAUCUGUGUUGCAGCUCGGGAAUACAAGUGCCCUUGUCUAAUGUGGACUGAUAGACAGAUCAUAGCCUGAUCUCUUAGCUACGGAACACGUUACAGGCACUGUGGGGCAGGGCUGGCCCGACAAAUUAGGUGACAUAGAUGGUAACCUAGACUGCCAUCACAUUAGGGACCGCAAUAGAGUGAGCAGUGGAAAAAAAGCACAAGAAAUAUGUGAUAUUGCACUUAUUUCAACUAGUUUAAAUAUUUCUCUACUUUUCCUGUGAAGCAGAUGGCAGUGAACUAGUUUGCCGCCAUACACUCUAUCCUACUCAAAUAUUUUUAAUAUAAAUGUACUGAUAAAAUUUGUUUUGUGCUGCCCUGGGGUGAGGUGGGGGGGGGGGGGUGAAGUGCUCAGCAGAAUGUCGCCUGGGGCCCCGGACACCCAGGGCCUUGGGAUGUAAAUGGACCCGAUCUUUCUGUGUAGGUGUUUUGGUCCUUAAGUGUCACAUUUCAUUUAGAAACAAAAUUUGUACAUGUUUGUACAAUGUAUAUUACAUCUAUAAAGAAAAUUUGUGCUGUUAA